rnacentral:rRNA from 1 species
AUACGAAAGGUGCAAGCGUUGUUCGGAUUUACUGGGCGUAAAGAGAGUGUAGGUGGUUUAUUAAGUCGGAUGUGAAAUCCCGGGGCUCAACCUCGGAACUGCAUUCGAUACUGAUAGGCUAGAGUUUGGGAGGGGUAAGCGGAAUUCCGUGUGUAGCAGUGAAAUGCGUAGAUAUACGGAGGAACACCUGAGGCGAAGGCGGCUUACUGGACCGAUACUGACACUGAGACUCGAAAGCGUGGGUAGCAAACAGGAUUAGAUACCCGGGUAGUCC